UUGGUUUCCCGCGGACUGCCGGUGCAUUCUGGGAAUGCGGAGGGACUCGGGUGCCGAAUGGCAGCUCUCCAGAGCCGCGAAGGGGCGGAGACUGCGAGACGAGCGCGGAAGAACACCUCUGCCUGCGUCCACGGCCGAAGCUGAACAAAGAGGAACUCUUUAACGUCUCUGUGGGCCAAGUACUUCCGCCGUCGACACUAACACAAUAAUCUCCUUUAAAGAAAAGGUCAGUGAAAAUACACACCGUGGACACAUGGAUAUCAAGGUUCCAGAUGAUACCAUGGUGUCAACCUUCCUUGGGCAGAUGACCCCACCAUGUGGCUUGGAACCCUGCCUCCCCAGAUCCCAGCCCCACUAGGAAAAGAGAGGCUGGAAGUUUGGAUCGACCUGCCAAUGCCCAUGUUUAGCAGGGAAGCAAUUACAGAAGCCAGACCUUUUACCUUCUGCACCCCAUAAUGAUCCUGUGUCCAUGCUCCCAUAGGGAUAAAGAAUAGGAAAGCUUCCAAUGGAGGGGAUGGGAUAUGGAUUUCUGGUGGUGGGAAUUGUGUAGAAUUGUCCUCUUAUCCUAUGGUCUUGUAAAUAUUUCCAUUUUAUAAAUAAAUUAAAAAAUGUUAAAAAAAUGAAGUAACAAUUAAUUAAAAUUGCAUGUGCUCAAUGGUGAAGUUUAAAUAGCUGUUUAUCCACAACUAAUUCCUUUUUUUUUUCUACCAGACACCAACAGUACAGUCUGUUCCUGUCAUUAAAUGCCUUCUUCCUAGCUGGGGCCCUAUUCAGGGAUCCUGAGAUUCCGAAACAGACAUGAUGGGCCUAGACCUCAAAUAAAUCCCUCUCUCCAUUGUUACUGGCCAUUUCUAUUAGGAACAACUCAAUAGAUCCCUUUGUGGGCCCCCCAUAGGACCUUGCCCUCAACUUGGAUCAUCAAUGGUAGAGAAUGUUCCAUCCUCCGAAUGACAACAACAAUAAUAACUACAACAAUAAAACAACAAGGGCAACAAAAGGGAAUAAAUAAAUAAAAUAAACAUUAAAAAAGAAAGACGAAAUUAAAGAAUAAAGAAAAACUCACGGGUUAUCUGGGACCUCAGCCAACUUCUCUUCUGGCAAAAUUCAUCCACAGGUUUCUUUUCUUUUUUUUUUUUUUUCCUUUUCUUUCUUUAUUGGGGGAAUAAUGGUUUAAAGCCAAAAGUAAAAUAUAGUAGCCUGUACAUGUGUAAUGUUUCU